UUGUCAUCUACUCUUGUU
rnacentral:sRNA from 1 species